AAGCACACAAUGCAGUGGUCACAUCAGCCAUAUUUGCUCCCAACCCUGGUUUGAUGAUUUCACUGGAAACUUCUGAAAAGCAAGAAGCUGAAAGUAAGGGAGAAGAUCCUGAAACCUCAGAUACCAUACCCUCUGGAGCUUUGAAGACGGAUCACACAGAAGUGCUUUUAUCGGCUGACUUUACUGGAGCAAUUAAAGUCUUCAUUAACAAAAAGAAAUAUGUAUCUUAGUUGUUCUGCAACUGACAGCAUAAGGCUAUGGUACUCUGGGAAAAAUGUUCCGUAAAUAAUGUGGGCAAAAGCAAAGUAUGUAAUAUAAUAACAUUAUAGGCUGAUUUAUUUUGAAAUCUGUAUUUUAAAGCUACUCAAAUAUUGGAUCCUUUGAAAGCAGUGUCUACCUAUUAACACCUGGGCUUGUAGAACAGAAAGGAAUGUGUAAGAAAAUCCUGCCAAACAUUAGACUCUAAACUUUCUACGAACAGUUGUUUUGUAAUGUAAUUGUGAACCUGCAACGGGAUUCUGCACGAAAACGUGUUCACACAUGUGUGUGCCUUUUGGUUACAUGCACUAAUUUGAACAUAUGUCAAAGGAUUUUAGUGGUGCUUGUGGCCACUAGAUGUCAGGAAUGGAGAUGGGAAGGGAAGGUUGGAGGGCUGGCUGGAAAAACGCUGAAUGAUCUCGUCUGAUCUUUGCACAAAACUCCAUUUGAGAAAGAUCUUGAAUUUGUAGUAGCGAUUGUUCAGAAUUUUAAGUUAUGCAAGUUUUUGAUGGGUCAGCAACCAUGUGUAAAUGUUUUUAUAAAUUUCUCAACUUCAGGACGUUAAAAGAAAAAGAAAAUUGUUGUCUUUUAAUUGUUGUGGACUUUAGAUUCCUUUCGUAUAUGUAAUUUUUUUGCACACUGGAGCACAAUACUUGUGUAAAGAAUUCUCUCAUUCCUUGUUCAUGGGCACCAGGAUAUAUUCACCUUCCAGAUAAAAUUAAGCUGCAUUAGAAAGUUCUUAUAUUUUACAACUAUGUAAAAUAAACUGUUUACAUUUUUUAAGCAUUGUAGCUUAAAGUUUUAAGUUGUUCUUGUUUGUUUCGUGCCACUGAAUUUUGAAAGUCUUUGUAAAUAUUCAUCUAAAACACCUAUGAAGUAACAUUCUGGGCAUCAUAACCCAUGAAGUGUUAUUGAUGGUCAAGUGUUUCAGAGAACAGAUGUAUCAUUAAACUUGGUCACACACUUGGAAA